rnacentral:rRNA from 1 species
GGGGCGGUCGCCUCCAAAAAAGUAACGGAGGCGUGCAAAGGUUGACUUAGGACGGAUGGCAAUCGUCCAUAAAGCGCAAAAGUAAAUAGUCAGCUUGACUGCGAGACCUACAAGUCGAGCAGGUGCGAAAGCAGGCUUUAGUGAUCCUGUGUCAGCUCAAGGGAGCGGCACGGCUUAUCGGAUAAAAGCUACCCCGGGGAUAACAGGCUAGUGAUACCCAACAGUCCACAAGGACGGUAUCGUUCGGNNNNNNNNNNNNNNNNNNNNNNNNNNNNNNNNNNNNNUUAACCUGUUAUACAAAAUAUAUAAUUUGUCUUUUUGAAAAAAUACUAGCUAAAAUCGGUGAACUCCUAUCUAAAUCAAUAGAGGACAACACCGAGGGAAUCCUUCGAUUCUGAGAAUCUCAGGACGAGGACCCGUAACGACUUUUCCGCCUUUGGCGGGAGGAUUCAAGGUACCGAAGGUUACUUCGGAUUAAAACUUGGAUAAAAGGCUAGCUCCUUCAUUUGAGCGGGACUUGUCCCGAACAAGCGAAGGAUGAAGGUAUAGUCUAAGCUGCAGGUAACUGUAGAUUUUUAUGACAGCGAUGUCGGCUCAUCCUAUCCUGGGGCUGUAGAAGGUCCCAAGGGUCUGGCUGUUCGCCAGUUAAAAGGUUACGCGAGCUGGGUUCAGAACGAUGUAAAUCAGUUCGGACUCUAUCCAGUAUGGGCGUUUGGAUUCUUGAGGGGAGUUGUCUCUAGUACGAGAGGACCGAGAUGAGGCAACCUCUAGUGUGCCGGUUGUCACUACAGUGGCAGCGCCGGGUAGCUACGUUGUUUCCUGAUAAGUGCUGAAAGCAUCUAAGCACGAAGCAGACCCCAAGAUUAGGGAUCUUUAAGACCCCAAGUAGACUACUUGGUUGAUAGGAGAGCGGUGUAAGUGCAGUAAUGCAUUUAGCUUACUCUUACUAAUGGUCGUAGUU